AUGGUAAAGAUGAAGCAUGUCAUGUGUGUCCCUGACCUUAGUAUUCUUAGGAGUGCUGUGUUAGGUGACAAAUCUUAUAAUUUGGGAGCCAUUGUUGCACGUAGGUUGCAUAAUAAUAGAUUUAAUGGAGAUUUCUUUGGAGGAAUUUAUGCAACCCGCUUAGCUGAUUUUCUUGGUGUGGACGUUCAUGAGGAUGAUAUUGAGUUGCCUCCUACUUAUUUAGACUAUAAUUCUAUGGUCUACCACCAGUUUGUCGAGAGGAAGGAAUCACCUCUCCGAUAUCGCUUAAUAUUUGACAGACGUCAUGCUGUCCGUAUUACUCUCCCUGCUCCUGCCUUCUUUGAUUAUCAGGCAAAAGGAAGACAUUUUAUUACCAGAGAGGAGGCAGAUGAGUACGAGAGGAGGGCGGAGGCAGCUCGCCGCCACGCUGCAGCUCAGGAGGCGAUAACCGCCGCAUCUCAGUACGACCCCAGCUACAACUACGGAUACCCGCCAGGCCAUCCGUGGUAA
rnacentral:rRNA from 1 species